rnacentral:rRNA from 1 species
GAUGAACGCUGGCGGCGUGCCUAAUACAUGCAAGUCGAGCGAACAGACGAGGAGCUUGCUCCUCUGACGUUAGCGGCGGACGGGUGAGUAACACGUGGAUAACCUACCUAUAAGACUGGGAUAACUUCGGGAAACCGGAGCUAAUACCGGAUAAUAUAUUGAACCGCAUGGUUCAAUAGUGAAAGACGGUUUUGCUGUCACUUAUAGAUGGAUCCGCGCCGCAUUAGCUAGUUGGUAAGGUAACGGCUUACCAAGGCAACGAUGCGUAGCCGACCUGAGAGGGUGAUAGGCCACACGGGAACUGAGACACGGUCCAGACUCCUACGGGAGGCAGCAGUAGGGAAUGUUCCGCAAUGGGCGAAAGCCUGACGGAGCAACGCCGCGUGAGUGAUGAAGGUCUUCGGAUCGUAAAACUCUGUUAUUAGGGAAGAACAAAUGUGUAAGUAACUAUGCACGUCUUGACGGUACCUAAUCAGAAAGCCACGGCUAACUACGUG